UCCCCGGUAGCUCAACCGGCAGAGCGGGUGGCUGUUAACCACUAGGUUGGGGAUUCGAGUUCCUCCCGGGGAGCCA
rnacentral:tRNA from 1 species